UAUGUGAUCGUCUCUCGCAUAUCAAUAAGCGGAGGAAAAGAAACUAACAAGGAUUCCCCUAGUAACGGCGAGUGAAGCGGGAAGAGCUCAAAUUUGAAAUCUUAAAGGGUUUCCCUUUACGAAUUGUAGUUUAAAGAAGUGUUUUCUGUUGAGGUUUUGGUAAAAGUUCUUUGGAAUAGGACAUCAUAGAGGGUGAGAGUCCCGUAUUUGACCUUUACUUUCAACUUUGUGAUACACUUUCAAAGAGUCGGAUUGUUUGGGAAUGCAGUCCAAAAUGGGUGGUAAAUUUCAUCUAAAGCUAAAUAUUGGCGAGAGACCGAUAGCGAACAAGUACCGUGAGGGAAAGAUGAAAAGAACUUUGAAAAGAGAGUUAAACAGUACGUGAAAUUGUCAAAAGGGAAGCGUUUGACACCAGUGUUGUUUUUCUGAAAAUCAAUUAAAGAACUGUUUAUGCUAAGCUGUUUAGACUUUAUCAGCUAAUCUGUUUAGUUUUGAGCUUUUCUUUAAUGCACUUUUCAGUUAACAAGUCAACAUCAAUUUCUUUUGCUGUAAAAAAGCUUGAGGAAGGUGGCUUGAGAUUCGUCUUAAGUGUUUAUAGCCUCUUGCCUAUGCAGUCGGAGAGAUUGAGGUCUGCAGCGUAGAUCCUUCGGGGCUAAAUGCAUUUGUGCUAAGUUAUAGCAUUUCAUAGACAACUUGUUGACUAUGAUUUGUCUUGUAGCUUACUCGCUUAUGUUAUUUUACCUACGCUUAGGAUGUUGAUAUGCAUGACUGAUAU
rnacentral:rRNA from 1 species